rnacentral:rRNA from 1 species
CAGUCGCCGCGGGAAAACGAAGGUGGCAAGCGUUGUCCGGAAUUAUUGGGCGUAAAGGGCUCGCAGGCGGUUUCUUAAGUCUGAUGUGAAAGCCCCCGGCUCAACCGGGGAGGGUCAUUGGAAACUGGGAAACUUGAGUGCAGAAGAGGAGAGUGGAAUUCCACGUGUAGCGGUGAAAUGCGUAGAGAUGUGGAGGAACAUCAGUGGCGAAGGCGACUCUCUGGUCUGUAACUGACGCUGAGGAGCGAAAGCGUGGGGAGCAAACAGGAUUAGAUACCCGCGUAGUCCCUGUCUCUUAUAC